AACGCACAUUGCGCCCUAUGGUAUUCCGUAGGGCAUGCCUGUCUGAGCGUCAGCUCCCCUCUCUCAAGCAUCUUUUUUUUUUGUGAAGCUUGGAUGACUUUGGAGAAGUAGUUUUUUUUUUUUUGAAAGACUGCUCUCCAGAAAUUCAUAGGCAGUAUGGUUGCACUUGAACCAGACGUAAUAAUCUCAUUUACCUCGUCUUUUCAAGGGAUUUGAUUGUACUUGCCUCAACCCACUCAUAACAACUAUGGGUGACCUCAGAUCAGGUAGGGAUACCCGCUGAACUUAA
rnacentral:misc_RNA from 1 species